GGUGGAGCUGCUCCCGCCCCUCAUAUACGUCGUCGUCCACAAUGAUUACCAUACACGGCCGCUCCAGCUCCCCUGUCGCGGCGGAGGGAGGAGAAGUUGGGGGCUCCACGUACUUCAGCCAAUCAAAAUGCUGCCUUUGAGAAUCGAGCCAACCCAUCCUCAAACCAAGCAACGACAGUGCUGUCGACUGGUGGAUGAACGAUCAUUAGACCACCAGGACGAGUUGGAGGGCCACGCUACACACCCUCAGGGCGGUGUUACCUGGCUGGAAGUGGACUGACGAGGCUUCAGCGUCGGGCCGCUCGUCGAAGUCCUCGGUGACGCGCGCGGUGCCCUGCCUCGUGAAGCACCUGCCUCACCC